UUCCUCUCAGGGUUGCACCCGAAGAGUUUCCAGUACUCUACCAGUCUCGGCUACGGGAGGGAGAGUCAAGCAGAGGCCUAUCCGUUCCAUUCCUGGCUUGGCCAGUAGCUAGCAAAUGGCAGGCAAUCUGCUACAAGU
rnacentral:snoRNA from 2 species